UACGGAGGGGGCUAGCGUUGUUCGGAAUUACUGGGCGUAAAGCGCACGUAGGCGGCUUUGCAAGUUAGAGGUGAAAGCCCAGGGCUCAACCCUGGAAUUGCCUUUAAGACUGCAUCGCUAGAAUUGUGGAGAGGUAAGUGGAAUUCCGAGUGUAGAGGUGAAAUUCGUAGAUAUUCGGAAGAACACCAGUGGCGAAGGCGACUUACUGGACACAUAUUGACGCUGAGGUGCGAAAGCGUGGGGAGCAAACAGG
rnacentral:rRNA from 1 species